CCUACGGGGGGCAGCAGUAGGGAAUUUUCGUCAAUGGGCGCAAGCCUGAACGAGCAAUGCCGCGUGAACGAGGAAGGUCUUCGGAUCGUAAAGUUCUGUUGAAGGGGAAAAAGAGCGGAGAGAGGAAAUGGUCUCCGAUUGAUAUUACCCUUCGAGGAAGUCACGGCUAACUACGUGCCAGCAGCCGCGGUAAUACGGAGGGGGCGAGCGUUAUCCGGAAUGAUUGGGCGUAAAGGGUGCGUAGGCGGCCUGCUAAGUCUGGAGUGAAAGGUACCGGCUCAACCGGUACCGGCUCUGGAAACUGGCGGGCUAGAGAGCAGGAGAGGGCGGUGGAACUCCAUGUGUAGCGGUAAAAUGCGUAGAUAUAUGGAAGAACACCAGUGGCGAAGGCGGCCGCCUGGCCUGUGACUGACGCUGAGGCACGAAAGCGUGGGGAGCAAAUAGGAUUAGAUACCCUGGUAGUC
rnacentral:rRNA from 1 species